rnacentral:lncRNA from 1 species
CCUACUGCGGGGACCCUUUGCCCAGAAGCCUGAGGGGAAUCUCCAGCUACUCCUCCUCACCCAGGGGUGGGGGAUAGUGAGGGGGGCUGCUCACAUCUGUCUGCAUCUGCCAGAGGACUGGACAGAAGCUAUUGUCAAACAAAGAGGCUUGGCGAGAAGAAAGGAGCGCCUCCUGAAGUCACAGAGUUGAUCCAUUUUCCAUCUUGCUGCUUAAAAAAUAAAAUGUUUAUUUUCUUUUUGCUAGGUAGGUCUGUAGGUGUGUAGAUGCACAAGUGUGAAUAGCGGCUUGGGCAUAGGUAUGUUGAGGUCGUAGGAAGCAGGUUUCAAAUUUUGGGUCAUUUGCCUCCACCCCUUGGGUUUAUUGCCAACUUUCUAAUUGUUUAGAUGGCUCCUGAUAACUGCGGGGCUGGAGGUUUUCUUCCUUGGAGAGAGGCUUCCACACUCGCUGGAGCACUUUGCAGCACUACCCAACGCUGGCUUGGGCCGCAACUUUAUUUGGGAGUUUCUUUUUCCGGUGAGACAGAGACCCGGCAGAAGAAGCGGGAGGGGCUGGAGGCUGGUCCUUAGGUAGGCACUGCCCGGCGACUGGAGCGCGGACCUGGCCAUUUGGGUGGGGUUGAGUGGGGGCGCGAUUGUGAGUAGCAGCCGCGGGACGCUGCGAAGGGGCGGCGGCAACAGAGCACGGGCGGGGGCAGAAAAGAGGCGGCGGAGGGCGCGGUGGGGGAGCGCGAGGCGAGUGCUGAGAGAGCAGAAAGGACUCAAGCCUGAGGGGAGUAGAGAGGAAGAAGGGGCAACGCGAGAAACCGAA